UACGUAGGGUGCGAGCGUUAAUCGGAAUUACUGGGCGUAAAGCGUGCGCAGGCGGUUUUGUAAGCCAGAUGUGAAAUCCCCGGGCUUAACCUGGGAAUGGCAUUUGGGACUGCAAGGCUUGAGUGCGGCAGAGGAGACUGGAAUUCCUGGUGUAGCAGUGAAAUGCGCAGAUAUCAGGAGGAACACCGGUGGCGAAGGCGGGUCUCUGGGCCGAUACUGACGCUGAGGAGCGAAAGCGUGGGGAGCAAACAGG
rnacentral:rRNA from 1 species